CCCGCACAAGCGGAGGAACAUGUGGUUUAAUUCGAUGCAACGCGAAAACCUUACCUACCCUUGACAUGUCCGGAAUCCCGAAGAGAUUUGGGAGUGCUCGCAAGAGAACCGGAACACAGGUGCUGCAUGGCUGUCGUCAGCUCGUGUCGUGAGAUGUUGGGUUAAGUCCCGCAACGAGCGCAACCCUUGUCAUUAGUUGCCAUCAUUUGGUUGGGCACUCUAAUGAGACUGCCGGUGACAAACCGGAGGAAGGUGGGGAUGACGUCAAGUCCUCAUGGCCCUUAUGGGUAGGGCUUCACACGUCAUACAAUGGUCGGUACAGAGGGUUGCCAACCCGCGAGGGGGGAGCUAAUCCCACAAAGCCGAUCGUAGUCCGGAUCGCAGUCUGCAACUCGACUGCGUGAAGUCGGAAUCGCUAGUAAUCGUGGAUCAGCAUGUCACGGUGAAUACGUUCCCGGGUCUU
rnacentral:rRNA from 1 species